AUUUUCAAAGUAUCGUCGAUAAACUGUGCGGCAAGAGAGGCAAGUUGCGUCCUUCUCAGGUCUACCUUCCGCGCGAAAUCUUGCCCACCGAUGCAACGAUACCAAAGAGUAGGAAAUAGCAUGCCAAGUCAAGACAGGAUAUCGUCGAGUUGCCUCCUCCUGUUGUACCUGAGCACUUCGAUAUGGGUGAUUGCCGGAAAUCCCAUUCGGUACAGGAUGAGACGGGAAGCGGAGAUAGCGUCGACCAACUGGACCGCGUUGGCCGACGAGUGGAUCGCGGCGAAGGCGCGGGCGGCCGAGAGGAUGGACGUGGCGUUGCUGCCGUUCAACGAGAGAUACAGGGAACUUCCGCCGACCGCGGCUACGGAGACCUACGUGGUUAACGGCACGAGUUCGGAUCAGAUGGCACGGCUGAAUUACUCGCGGAUGCUGUGGGACAUGGAGACGGUACAGCCGAGUGGUCACUUGUCCGGCUUCGUGGACAAGGCUCUCAAGCUGCUGGACCUGAGGCAAGUGAUGAUGGAGGUCGAGACCUCCGUGAUGUCCAAGGUAUCUUGCACCGCGUGCAAGGUCGGCGCCGGCCUGCUACAGCAUUACAUAAAGGCCGGCAAAAGCGACGAGGAGAUCAUGGCCAGCAUCUAUCAGUUCUGCGUGUCGCUCAACAUACAGAGCGCUCGGGUCUGCCACGGCGUCACUCUACUCUUCGGGGUGGAGGUGAUAUACGUGCUGAAGCAAGUGAGCAUGGGCCCGGCUCAGAUCUGCAGUUUCGUGAUCGGUGACGCCUGCGACGACGCGUUCAAUCCGCUCCAUGAGUGGGAGGUGGCCUUCCCGCCGGUCAAGAAACCGCCGAUCAAGCCGCCCAUACCGCCUCAGGAGGCCGCGCCGACUUUCAAGGUGUUGCAUAUCUCCGACACGCACUACGACCCGUAUUAUCAGGAGGGCGCGAACGCGGAGUGCAACGAGCCCCUCUGCUGCCGAUUGACGAACGGCGCGGCGUUGACCGCCUCGGCGGCGGCGGGUCGAUGGGGCGAUUACAGAAAGUGCGACACGCCGAAGAGGACGAUCGACCACAUGCUGAAGCAUAUCGCCGAUACGCACUCGGAUAUCGAUUACAUCCUCUGGACCGGGGACUUGCCGCCGCACGACGUGUGGAAUCAGACGCGGGAGGAGAACCUGAAGAUUUUGCGUGACACGGUCGCGCAGAUGGUGGAGAUGUUUCCAGGCAUACCGAUAUUUCCGGCCUUGGGAAAUCACGAGAGCGCGCCGGUUAACAGCUUCCCACCGCCCUUCGUGCCCGAAGAGAACAGCAUCUCGUGGCUGUAUGACGAGCUCGACAAACACUGGAGACGCUGGCUGCCGGCCGGUGUCUCGCACACCGUCCGCCGCGGGGCGUUUUACUCGGUCCUGGUGCGACCGGGCUUCAGGAUUCUCUCGGUCAACAUGAAUUACUGCAACAACAAGAACUGGUGGCUGCUGAUCAACAGCACCGAUCCGGUCAGCGAGCUGCAGUGGCUCGUGUACGAGUUGCAGGGCGCCGAGAUCAACGGCGAGAAGGUGCACAUAAUCGGUCAUAUUCCGCCCGGCCACUCGGACUGUCUCAAAGUCUGGUCGAGGAACUACUACCACAUCAUCAACCGUUACGAAUCGACCAUCGUGACCCAGUUCUUCGGGCACACGCAUUACGACGAGUUUCAGCUAUUUUACGACACGUCGGACUUGGGUAGAGCGCUCAGCAUUGCCUACGUCGGGCCCUCGGUCUCGCCCUACUACGAUCUCAAUCCUGGCUACAGGAUAUACUACGUAGACGGCGAUCAUCCGAAAACCACGAGAAUGGUCGUCGACCAUGAGACCUGGGUCAUGAAUCUCAAGGAAGCGAAUCUGUACGAUUACCCGAUCUGGCACAAGAUGUACAGCGCGCGGCAGGCCUAUCAAAUGGCGUCGCUCUUGCCGAAGGACUGGGACUCCCUGAUCGACAAGAUGACCAAUGAGCCGGCCCUCUUCGACCUCUAUUACAAGCAUUAUUACAAGAACUCCCCGGUGCGACCAACGUGUAACGACGAAUGUCGUAAGAGGCUGCUGUGCGACCUGCGGAGUGGAAGGAGUCACGACCGAAAGGCUCUCUGCCAGAGCCUGGAAUCGCGGAUCGACGUCGAGACGAGAACGGGUUGGCGUGCGUGGAUCUACAAGGGCCUCGCAUUAUCGUACGUAAAGGAUCUGUGGUACCAGCUUUACUCCGGCAACACUGAGACUAACGAAGUUGACUAACUCCGGGUGGAUAGGUGAAUGGAACGGACGAUCGCGCGGUCGUAGCGUGCACAGUCGGCGGAUCUGUUUGAUGUGCACGCUUCUCCAUUAGUAACAUUUAUAUUCGCGAUAAUCUCUUUGGAAUGCACGCGAAAGGUGGUGGACGCUAUUAUGAUAACGCGAAACUACUCAAGCUUCCUGAGUCUAACAACGGAAAUUGAUGAUUAUAUGUAUAGUCUGUAAUAGUCGUAAGAGUCGUCUGGAUCCUUGUAAUCGCGAAUGUAAUUAGUACUAGAUGCAAAUAACCCCGCUUGAUUGCGAGACAAGAGGAUCUACAGAAGAAACAUUAACAAUCUGUAGAAAUUAUUGAGAUAACGGGUCACAAGUAGAUAUACAGACUGAUCGAUCAGUACAUAUCGUUGUAUUGAUACAUUAGUUAUUAAUGUCGGUUGUUAAUUUGCUCAUUACCAAUGUGUCGAUAACGUACGCUCAUCAUUUGAUGAUUAGCAUCCCAUGUGGUGAUAUAGCUAUAUUUUUGUAAUGUAAAAUGAACGCACAUGUGAUUUAGUUUCCGCCAAUCCUCCAAUCCUCUGCGACGAAGUUAUUGAGUUAUUUUUAUUCGAUAAAAGUUAAUUGUUAUUCCAUAGUAGAAUUAUUGUUUCAUUGUUUAGUUUGCAUUCAAGGUAACAUGUCUUUGCGUUGGAAACUGAGCGAUCACAAAGGCAUGGAUUUGAUUAUCUUAUUUUCAGCUAUUUCGACCAAUGUUAACGAAGCAAUAUUAAUAACAAUAGUAAAUAUUAUAUGAAAAAUUGCGAAUCACUCGUGCCUUAUCAGAAAAGUAAUUACGAUUCUCUUAAGCGAAAUUAUUCGUAGAUCUCUGCGAAUAUAUUCGAUCACGUGAGCGGUCGUUGCGAGAAAUUUUAAAAACUAUGUGUUAACCGUGCAUUUUUCUCCUUCACUGGUUUCUUGCGUUAGAUAUAACAAUCUAUCUUCCAAUUUUCUCACUAGACUAAUAUGAGCCAAAAAUAUGUGUUUUCCUUCUCUGUUUACAAUUUAUUAACUGAUAUACUAUGUAGGCUUAAAUUUUAAGACUGUAGGAAGACGUAGACUUGAUAACGUGUAAAUGUUGAUUUUACUCUAAGCUCUGUAUUUAGCCCAAAAAUUUCUAACAAGCGAAUGUCGACCAAACUGCAUUUAGUAGUUCCUAGACAUCUAUUGAUGUAUCGCUUCAUAUAUAUUGCAUGUGUGCGAGUGAUUACGUAACACCUGCAUGAAAAACAUAAAAAGAGAGAGAAAGAGAAAGAGAGAGAGGGAGAGACAGAAAUCCAGAGCACUAACGAUGAUCAAUAAUGAAGAAGCUGUUCGAUUCGUGUGUUUCAGAGGUUUCUUCGCGAAACAUGUCGCGUUCUGAUUAGCUUCCAAUGCGCGGACAACGCGAAAAAUGCGCGCGUCACGAAUAAAGCGUUAUGAAUUUUUUUAACACACGAUCACACCUCUUAUCGCGAUCGGAUAAUGCAUGCUUUAUAUGUUUACACAAACGCACACACAUACACAUGUACGCCUGUAAAUACGUUCUUUCCUAACAGAACUUUUUCAAUAAAAAAUAGCAAACAAAAGAGAACGGUGUCGGGCCUCUCAAUUCACCAACAUGACGCGCACGUUUACGUUAUAAAUAAUUUUUAACGCUAAGCUUCGGCCGAUAACCCAUGCAGCACAGAUCUCCAAAGGACAUCCCGAAGACAUCCUGAGGACGUCCAUACAUCCUAAGAACGUCCUCAAGACGUCCUCAGGAUAUCCUCUGGAGAUUUUGUGCUGUUUGGGAAGCGACUAGCACGUUGUAAUCAGCAAUCGACUGCAAUCGCCGUUGUUUCACGAUACGUUGCACGCGAGUGCAGUUUUCGAGCUUUUUCCUACCUCACGAAUCAACGAGGAGCGACGUUUUAGAUGUGGUUUCACCUUGCUGGAAGGCGCCAAAAUUUGUAUGUGCAUAGACAAAGUCUCUGUAAUUGGUAACCUUGUUUGGUGGCGGAGCGUAACACGGUGGUUGAGAUUUCUAUCGUCGCACAACGUGUACUGUAGAUGUCGGUGGUGAUGGCCAUCCCUAGGUUCGCGUACAAUCUACCAAAGUACGUCCUAGGACUGGGUUAGAACAUGGAAACGACUAUGCCGUCGAGUGCAAAUGUGUGACUCAACUUGUGAUGUUAAAUUAUUAAAAUGCUCGUGACGUGUCGUAGCGUUCGUAGACAUGCGAGCCUCAAUGCCGUUGACGACCGACGACGAUCGCGUUCGUCGCAACUGAUUGCCGCGUAUUCGCGACUCGUAGAAUCUAACGCGCGGAAUCUCGCUCGAAACAAAGGGAGACUGAGGACCCUAACGUCUUUGAGAAACGUGUGAGUUAAGAUUAGAUAUUAAGAGGCUGGACAAAGAUAUUCGUUCCAAUUUAUCCGCCUUUUUUACCGGUUGUCCUAAUCAAUAAGCGUAAUCAAUAACUCUUUAUUUUUGAUCAAGUAUAUCUCGGGUGCGUAUAUAAGGAUCUGAGAAAAUAUUCGAAUAAAGACAAGGACACAUGGCGAUAUAUCGUAUCAUCAUUGAAAACUUCUAUUCGCGUGUUUUCCUCGUGGCGACUACAAAGCGCCUUUGUAUUUUCUCCAAUGUAACGCGCACAUUGUGUAAGAUAUGUAAAUACAAGUGAUUAUUGUAAUCGAA
rnacentral:misc_RNA from 1 species